CAGGAAAUCCCAUACUAUCGCUGUAGCUGAAUAAACAGAAGAUUGAAACGUUUUGAUUGAUGAAACAUGACUGAAACGUUUUGAUAAUAAACACACAACACAACUGCCUUAUUCUGUGUAAGAAGCCACAUCAUCUUACAGAAGGACGCUCAAGUGUCAUUAUGAAGUGAGUUUGGAGUAAAAACAUGUUAUUAAAUGUUGUCUUUUGUUGGACAAGAUGUUAAUAAAUGCUUCUCAUGUCUGGAAAGAUGUUUUGACGCGUGUUGUUUUUUCAAAUGCACAUUAUAAGUAAUUCAAACUCUCAGUGCUAUUCAGAUGGAUUAGCAUUUGGAGCCAUACUUCAUUGACAAGCCGCGCAUAAAAAAAUAAUCUAAUUUCUAAGAUUGAGUGAAUGUAGGUGAUAGUUCUGGUGGAUGAAGGGCGCCUUUAAGAGGUAAAGCCCAGGGGCCCUGGAGGCAAGCACCCAAUUUAAGUCCAUUUUAUAAUAAUAAAGUUAUAAUUCUUAUACUUACAUAAUUAAGUUUCUAAUCCAGUUUGUUUUGUUUUAAAUGGUUUGUUUUGUGGCUGACUAUCAAGCUGAUUAAGACGUGAUACAGAUUUUUGGUAAGCUACUGUAUUUGCAACAUAUAUUCUGAUGUUCAUUCAUAUUUAUUUCAUUCUGUAAAGAAGUAAAGAGGAAGAGAUGAUCGCGUUCAUUCAUGUUCCGCGACAACUGAGAAGUGACAGUCUUUGUACAACUUUAUUUUCAUAAUAUAAAUAAAUGUAUAGCCUAGGCCCAUUUGCUUAUCCUGUAAGCUCGUGAAUAAAAAUGAAAAUGUGGACGAAAAAAGAAACUAUUAACCUUAUCCACAAUAAAAUAAAGCUGACACAUACCCAAAGCAACAUAUCUUUUCAUCAAACCCUAACCCUAACCCUAACACAACGGUCCCCAUAGGGGAGGACUGUCCUUACAUUUCAGGUCAGAGUCAUGCCCAUCCCCCAAUACACAAGUGAUGAAAAUGAGUCAACAGAGAAAGUCACAUUUUACUCAAAGUUGAGACGUCACAACAACGUCUUUAAGACAACGGUCCACAUAAAACAGCCUAGUAUGAUGCCCAACUGUCCUACACUUAAAGGAUUAACUUUGAAAUGAAAAUCAGCCAAACCUUUACUCACCCUCAAGCCAUCCUAGGCGUACACUGUAAUCCCUGAAGUUGAUUUAACCCAAACUAAUUAAAUAAACUAAACAUAAACUUUUAAAUUUUCUCUUCAUUACACAAUUGUUUUGGGUUUUGUGCACGAUUUGCAUGAAUUCUCUCAUUCUACUGGAAUGUUUUAGUUCAAUCAACUUAACUGUGCUAAUUCAAGUCUGUUGUCAAUGGCAACGAACAGGAAUGCAACACAAGGAAGAAUUUCAUUGGGCAGUUUGAAAUGACGCCAAGCUGGAAUGUAGCGUGUGUUUCUGUCAACGUUUGCUGCAGAUUCCAAGCAGAUCCAAUCAAAGCUAAGAUGCUUCAGUCUUGACCAGCUCUGUCAGGUGUACCAGCAGGCUGGUUGGGAAGAAGAGAGUGAUUUGAGAGAUUUUGUGCAACAGACAAAGGCUUCUGAUGAUGAGGACAGCAUACAGCCUAGAAAGUGAAGAUAUGACACAGCAUCCCCUGCCCUUCCACCUCCAUCCAUCUACUGUCGGAAUCAUCUUGGAGCAGAAUUUUGUGAUGGUUUCUUGUCAUUCUCUAGAAACUGAAUUUAAAUAAAUUGUGGAUUCAAAUAAAUCACUG